GUACGUAGGGGCAAGCGUUGUCCGGAAUCAUUGGGCGUAAAGAGCGUGUAGGUGGCUCGGUAAGUCCGCUGUGAAAGUCCAGGGCUCAACCCUGGAAAGCCGGUGGAAACUGUCGAGCUCGAGUCCGGAAGAGGCGAGUGGAAUUCCCGGUGUAGCGGUGAAAUGCGCAGAUAUCGGGAGGAACACCGAUGGCGAAGGCAGCACUCUGG
rnacentral:rRNA from 1 species